GCAAUAUCUUAUCAGUGCCUGGAUGGGGAGGGGACUGCCAGGAAACUAUCAGAUGAUGUGCUCCCCCAGAUGAAGAAGUAGUGCCAGGAAAAAGGAGACACGGGAUACAGGGAUCCUGAAGCCGGCGGAGGACAAGGGAGCUCCUGGGAGGACAGCUGUGCUCCGGCCUAGCAAUAGCGAGCAGCUGGUCCAGACUGCCGCCGUGACUCAGAAGAUAGACAUGCGGAGGGUUAUGAUCACAGAGCAACGAUGGUCCUUGUACAUGAAGAUAAAAAUGCUCAGGUGUGCCCAGGUUGAAGAAGAUGAAAGGCCCUGCCUCCCAGAGCGCCCGGGGACACUGGUGAUCUCUUCCAGGUCUGUUUCCACCCACUGCAGCUGUGGUGAGUCUAGAGGCAGAAAAUUCAUAGCAGCCCAUGCCCUUUGACCAUGUUUCUGCUGGUCAGCCUGCACCUCACUCACACUACGCCCUGUGACACAACCCCAGACAGACUCUGGAGAACUCAAGGGGACGUGGAAGCCAGGCUCUGCCCGGAAGCUCCACUCAGGUCAUCUUCAGGGAGCCGUGGGAGCAUCAUUGCCCUCCCCUUUCAAAGCUAGGUCUGUGCUUACUGCUCAGUUUUUUUCCAAACUAAACAAUGUUUUUGAGAGAUUCACAGAGAGAUAAAAGCAAUUAGGAAUAAAUGCCAGGGGGUGGUUAACACAAAGGUGGGGAUAUUGGUUACCUCUGGAGAGGAAAGGGGAUGGAAUGGCAGAGUGCUCAAGGGUCUCUGGAGGUGCUCCUGUCUCCAGUGUAGUCACGUGAGGUUCACUUUAUUCUUUAAUCUGUACAUACACUUUUUUUUUUUUUCUGAGAUGGAGUCCCACUCUGUCGCCCAGGCUGGAGUGCAAUGGUGUGAUCUCCGCUCACUGCAACCUCCACCUCCCAGAUUCAAGCGAUUCUCCUGCCUCAGCCUCCUGAGUAGCUGGGACUACAGAUGUGUGCCACCACGCCUGGCUAAUUUUUGUAUUUUUAGUAGAGACAGGGUUUCACCAUGUUGGCCAGGCUGGUCUCAAACUCCUGACCUCAAGUGAUCCGCCUGCCUCGGCCUCCCAAAGUGCUGGGAUUACAGGCGUGAGCCACUGUGCCUGGCCUGUACAUACACAUUCUCUAUAAAAUAUUUUGAAAUAAGCACUUUUAAUUAAUUAAGGAUUGUUCUGGAAAAGAAAAAAACUUUCUACUGAAAUAAUUGGCUGAGAUAGAAGUAAUUAUGUCUUAAAUGAUCUAGAUAAUUUUAUGACUGGCUGAAGCCUCAGCAUCAGAAGCAAGGGCUGAACAUUUUGGCUUCCUGCCAACCUUGACUCACUGAGCAAAUGAAUUUACCUUCAACAAUAUGUACAGUCCAGAUGUGCAUUUGUGCCUGUCUCAUUCUCAAUAUGAAAUAUGUUUUGAGAAUUGUUUGGGGUAAAAACAACAAAUGAUCUCUUUUGUCCACAUACUUUUCACCGUUCCUUCCUCGGCAGCCAAGUCGACUCAGCUGGCUCUUUGGGACCUGGCACAUUAAAACUAAAAUGUGCUCCAGUGGACUUCACUGUGUUUUUUUCUUUCUUUAACCAGCACAGGAGCUGCAGAAGGGCAUUUUGAAGUCUGGAGGUAAUGCCAGUUGGCCUGGGCAGGGAACAAUGUGUGAUUAAGCAGUGAAGGGGAUAAGGGACAAAUUCCGGGAGCCCUGCUUAUCUCUGCUGGAAUUACUGUACUGCAGGUCUCAAAUCCUGAAGGAUCCUGUAUUUGUUUUCACCUGGAACCUGGACCACAUUCAGGUGGCAGAUUAAAAUUAAGCCAAGUUCAUUCCAGGCCAUCCUAAUGAUUUUUUAAUUAGCAUCAGUGCACAGUGUAGUAAUUUGCAGUUCAUAGUCCACUUGUAAGUUGAAAUUAGAAACUGCAAGGACAGUAAUAUAAGUGGGAGGAGAGAUUUCAUUAAUCCCGUCAACAAAUAUUUAUUGACUGCAGCUGUGCUAGUGGGUAAUGAUAAUACAGCUAAGAGCCAAAACAAAGUUCCUCCCCUAUGGGCCUUUCUUUCCAGUGGGAAGAGGGUACAGGGUACAGUCAAUAAAUCCAAAUAUAUAUAUUUAUGUAUGCACACAGAUAUAUAUAUAAAACAAGUGGAAUGUGCUGUGAAGAAGAAGCAGGGUAAGGCUCUGGAAAGGGCCAAGGGUGUGCGUGAGUGGGGUGGUUACUGUAUAGAGAUUGGCCACGCCGGGUGCACCACCGCGCCAGCCAACAGCUUGGUUUUAUACAUUUUAGGGAGACAUGAGAAGUCAAUCAAUGUAAUAUGUACAUUGGUUCUGUCCGGAAAGGUGGGACAACUCAAGCAGGGAGAGGGUUUCCAGGUGACAGGUAGGUGAG
rnacentral:lncRNA from 1 species